rnacentral:rRNA from 1 species
GUCUACAGCCAUACCACCCUGAACGCGCCCCCUAUCUCGUCUGAUCUCGGAAGCUAAGCAGGGUCGGGCCUGGUUAGUACUUGGAUGGGAGAAAUAUGUAUGUUUCAAAUC